rnacentral:lncRNA from 1 species
ACUGGGAUAAAAUUUUUGAGACAAAAGACUAAAACGUUUCAAAAAAAUAAAAAAAUCCCGUUCCGCCCGCACCGCUCCACCGGGCCCGCGUCCUGCAAAGAACAGAUCAAUGAGCCUGCGCAAUUUGAUUCAUGAGCCCGUACUGCGGCGGCGGCGCUCCGCCCGCCCUCCCUUUGCUCCCUCCCUCCCUCCCCGCCUCCCCGGCCUCCUCCUCCCCGCGGGCGAGGGUGGCGUGGCGUGAGCAGGCAAGGAAUGGAGGGAUCAGAGGGAGAGGAGCGCGGGGAGGAAGGGAGGAGGAGAGAGGAGCCGGGCGCAGGUAGCUGAGGAGGAAGGGAGCGAGGGAGAUGAGGGUGAUAAGGAGAGAGAGGCUGGAGAGGGUCGGGCGCAGGAGAUAAGGUGGGCGCGGAGAGGUGGAUAAAUUCCGGUUGGAGUCAUUAACUGAGAUAAAAUGAUUAGUCUUGGUUGGUAGCUCCAACCAGGACUAAGAGCCACGAACUGGACUAAUUCAUUUUAUCUCGACCGGUGGCUCCGAUCGGGACUUAAAAGGAUUUUUUAUCCCGGUUGGAACCACCGACCGGGAUUAAAAGGGCUCUGCCAGUCUACAAAAUUUAGAUCCGGAACUAAAUGCACUUUAAUCGUUUAGUUCCGGAUUCAAAGUCAUCCGGAACCAAAGGUACUGGAUGGAAGAUCAUUCCUAAGCAACUGCACGCUACGCUGCCAUGCUGUCACACUCCCAACCACGCUCCACGCACGCUAGUUUCCUAGCUGAAAUGCAUAUUUAAAUGCGUGUAUCAACUUGUGUAGUUUGUAAAUAAAACUAAUUAGAUGCAUCUCCUCCUGGUCUAGCAGUAGGAUAUACACAUAGGAGUAUAGGAUAGAGAUGGCAUGGUCCAACAUAUACAGCAAGGGUUACGAAAAGUUGUUAGACUCUAAUCUAGAAAAAGGAGCUCAAAAACACAUAGAAAGAAAACUCUAUGACAAAGAAAGACAAUUAAAAAACUAAAUUUCAAUCUUCUUCUUUGUCUAUAUUUCAACAUUAUGUUAUCUUUAUGCAGCACCAAUCCAUCACAUCUGUCAUCUACUUAGAAAUUUGAUGCGGGACUUAUCCUACUAAAUCUUGUCACGCAGAAACAUAUUUCGCCUAGAUAAAAAAUGCUAGGUCAGAGAAUUUUAAGGUGAUACCUCCAAGGAGGACACGACGUCGAAGACACCAUCGCCGCAUUCUAGCCAGCACGUAAUCUUACAGAAAGUCCAAGAAUAAGGCCUGGUUUGGUUCACUUGCUUAAAUUUAAGCACCCGUCACAUCGAAUGUUUAGAUACUAAUUAGGAGUAUUAAACGUAGACUAUUUACAAAACCGAUUAUAUAAGUGGAGGCUAAACGGCGAGACGAAUCUAUUAAGCCUAAUUAGUCCAUGAUUUGACAAUGUGUUGCUACAGUAAACAUUUGCUAAUGAUGGAUUAAUUAGGCUUAAUAGAUUCGUCUCGCUGUUUAGCCUCCACUUAUGUAAUGAGUUUUGUAAAUAGUCUACGUUUAAUACUUCUAAUUAGUAUCUAAACAUUGAUUUGACACUUGCUUAAAAAUAAGCAAAGGAACCAAACGGGUCCUAAAUACCUCAGGGGAGGAAAACGAUGCCGCUGUUGCUGACACCGACGUAACAGUCGGGUAGGAGUUUCGUCCGAAACUCCUGCACAACCACGUCAUUACCGUGGCAAAAUCUAUGGACCACCGUACCACCGCCCGUGCCGGCAUAGCCAACACUGCCCGCUGCCCGCUAUCACCGUCAACGAUCUGCAAUAAGGUGCCCACAACUGAGUAGCACCGCCCGAGCACCACCGCCAGCAAUAGCCGCCAUGCUCCAGCGGGACACCCAGUGCCGGUGAUGUGCCCAUCGCCGCCCAUCUCCAUGUCGCGCGCAGGGCGUCACGCGAAGUCCGGAACCGGCGGAGGCCAACGCGUCAGCGCGGCCACCGGUAGUCGACGACAGCCCCCGCACACGCGUCAGCGCGGCCACCGGUAGCCGACGGCAGCUCCACCCCGCGGUUUGGGGGCGCAGCGGUGACCAUGGCCACCCAGCGUGGGAGGAGACGACCAAGGGGCUGGUCCCACCAAGGAGAUCGUAGAUCCGGCGGAGGGACAGGCAGAUCCGGUGGAGGGAUAGGCAGAUACAGUGGAGGAACACGCGGCUCCGGCCUCGAAACGGCCGGAAUCGGCCUGUCCCGGCGGUGGCAGUGGGUGAGCUCACCGAGAGAUUUUGGGCUGGGUGAGGGAGGAAGGGGAGUGAUGGAGGGGCGUGACGUGGCGCAGCCGCUGGCCGCCAACACCGCCGGCCGGUCGGCGG